rnacentral:lncRNA from 1 species
AUGGGAUUAUGUUCAACUGGGUUGGUCUGGAUGUGCCCCGAGGCAAAAAUCUCCAGUGAGACUGGAGCCAGAUGGAAAGACCCAGCCACGGGGCUGCAGGCUCUUCGGUCUCUCUCUGGCUGCUUCCCUGCCGCCUGUGUUGGAUGCUCUGAACCUGGCCCAACCCUGCUCACAAGAUGUAGCAAAUCUUUCAACCUUGGCAAAUAUAUUUUUAAACAAAGUAUAACUUAUUUGGGCCAGAACAUCAUCAAGAAAUCUAGAUAUCAGAUUGGCUAACAUGACAGCAAAGGAAAGUAAUGAAUGCUGGAGGGGAUGUGGCAAAGUAGGGACAUUAAUUCAUUGCUGGUGGAGUUGUGAAUUGAUCCAACCAUUCUGGAGGGCAAUUUGGAACUAUGUCCAAAGGGUGCUAAAAGAUUGUCUGCCCUUUGAUCUAGCCAUAUAGGACUGCUGGGUUUGUACCCCAAAGAGAUAAUAAGGAAAAAGACUUGUACAAGAAUAUUCAUAGAUGUGCCCUUUGUGGUAGCCAAAAAUUGGAAAAUGAGGGGAUGCCCUUCAAUUGGGGAAUGGCUGAACAAAUUGUGGUAUAUGUUGGUGAUGGAAUACUAUUGUAGCUCAAAAGAAAUCAUAAAGUGGAGGAAUUCCAUGGGAACUGGAACAACCUCCAGGAAGUGAUGCAGAGCGAAAGGAGCAGAACCAGGAAAACAUUGUACACAGAGACUGAUAUACUGUGGAACAAUCGAAUGUAAUGGACUUCUCCAUUUGUGUCAAUGAAAUGUCCCUGAACAAUCUGCAGGGAUCUAGGAGAAAAAACACUAUCCACAAGCAGAGGACAAACUGUGGGAGUAAAAACACCAAGGAAAAGCAAGUGCUUGACUACAGGGGUUCAGGGGAUAUGAUUGAGGAGAGACUCUAAAUGAACACCCUAAUGCAAAUACCAACAAUAUGGAAAUGGGUUCAAAUCAAGGACACAUGUGAUACUCAAUGGAAUCAUGCGUUGGCUAUGGGAGCGGGGGUGGAGGGGAAGGAAAAGAAAAUGAUCUUUGUUUCCAAUGAAUAGUGUUUGAAAAUGACCAAAUAAAAUAAUGUUUAAAAGGGAAAAUAAAAGAAAU